rnacentral:rRNA from 1 species
UACGUAGGUGGCAAGCGUUAUCCGGAAUUAUUGGGCGUAAAGCGCGCGCAGGCGGUUUCUUAAGUCUGAUGUGAAAGCCCACGGCUCAACCGUGGAGGGUCAUUGGAAACUGGGGAACUUGAGUGCAGAAGAGAAAAGCGGAAUUCCACGUGUAGCGGUGAAAUGACGUAGAGAUGUGGAGGAACACCAGUGGCGAAGGCGGCUUUUUGGUCUGUAACUGACGCUGAGGCGCGAAAGCGUGGGGAGCAAACAGG